AACGAACGCUGGCGGCGUGUUUAAGACAUGCAAGUCGCACGGGAUAAGACAUGUAGUAAUACUUGUUUUAUUUAGUGGCGCACAGGUGAGUAACACGUGAAUUACAUGCCCUAUAGUGGGGAAUAGCCCAGGGAAACUUGGAUUAAUACCCCAUGGUAUCGAAAGAUUAAAGGUGCCCGCAAGGCUGUCGCUAUAGGAUUGGUUCGCGCGCUAUCAGCUUGUUGGUGAGGUAACGGCUCACCAAGGCAAUGAAGGGUACCUGGUCUGAGAGGACGAUCAGGCACACUGGAACUGAGACACGGUCCAGACACCUACGGGUGGCAGCAGUCGAGAAUAAUUCACAAUGGGGGCAACCCUGAUGGUGCAACGCCGCGUGGAGGAUGACGGUCUUCGGAUUGUAAACUCCUGUCAUCUGGGAGAAAGACCUGACGGUAAAUAGCCGGCAGGGUUGAUAGUACCGGAAGAGGAAGGGACGGCUAACUUCGUGCCAGCCGCCGCCGUAA
rnacentral:rRNA from 1 species